rnacentral:rRNA from 1 species
CCUACGGGAGGCAGCAGUGGGGAAUCUUGCGCAAUGCGCGAAAGCGUGACGCAGCAACGCCGCGUGGGGGAAGACGGCCUUAGGGUUGUAAACCCCUUUCCAGGAGGGACGAAGGUUCACCGGUUAAUAGCCGUGUGGAUUGACGGUACCUCCACAAGAAGCACCGGCUAACUACGUGCCAGCAGCCGCGGUAAU